rnacentral:rRNA from 1 species
GACGAACGCUGGCGGCGUGCCUAAUACAUGCAAGUCGAGCGGGGUGAUGGUGCUUGCACUAUCACUUAGCGGCGGACGGGUGAGUAAUGCUUAGGAAUCUGCCUAUUAGUGGGGGACAACAUCUCGAAAGGGAUGCUAAUACCGCAUACGUCCUACGGGAGAAAGCAGGGGAUCACUUGUGACCUUGCGCUAAUAGAUGAGCCUAAGUCGGAUUAGCUAGUUGGUGGGGUAAAGGCCUACCAAGGCGACGAUCUGUAGCGGGUCUGAGAGGAUGAUCCGCCACACUGGGACUGAGACACGGCCCAGACUCCUACGGGAGGCAGCAGUGGGGAAUAUUGGACAAUGGGUGGAACCCUGAUCCAGCCAUGCCGCGUGUGUGAAGAAGGCCUUAUGGUUGUAAAGCACUUUAAGCGAGGAGGAGGCUCUUUUGGUUAAUACCCAAGAUGAGUGGACGUUACUCGCAGAAUAAGCACCGGCUAACUCUGUGCCAGCAGCCGCGGUAA